CACGUAGGGUGCGAGCGUUGUCCGGAAUUAUUGGGCGUAAAGAGCUCGUAGGCGGUGUGUCGCGUCGGCCGUGAAAACCUGCAGCUUAACUGUGGGCUUGCGGUCGAUACGGGCAUCACUGGAGUUCGGCAGGGGAGACUGGAAUUCCUGGUGUAGUCGGUGAAAUGCGCAGAUAUCAGGAGGGAACACCGGUGGCGAAGGCGGGUCUCUGGGCCGAUACUG
rnacentral:rRNA from 1 species